CCUCACACACCGCGCAUGCUCAAUAUAGGGGUAUGGAAAUGUGAUGGCCAUUAGCCCUGUGAAAUCUCCCUACCCAGUCUCUCCCUGCACCCAACACUCCCAGCCAUCCGAGGGGAGGGUGUACUAUAUUAGGGGGGUUUCAGUGUAUUCUAUUGGGGAGUGGGGGUUUUAGUACAUUAUUAUAUUGGGGUCUGUGCAGUAUAUGGGGGGCUGUCUGCGCUGUAUAUGGGGGGCUGUCUGCGCAGUAUAUUGGGGGGUCUGCGCUGCAUGUGGGGGGUCUGUGCAGUAUAUUGUGGGGGGUCUGCGCUGUAUAUUGGGGGGUCUGCGUUGUAUAUGGUGGGCUGUCUGCGCAGUAUAUUGGGGGGUCUGCGUUGUAUAUGGGGGUUACGCAGUGUAUUGGGGGGUCUGUGAAGUAUAUUGGGGUGGCCUGUGUGUUAGAUGGAGGGGCUGUUUGUUACAUGUGGGGGGGCAGUGUAUUAUAUUUGGGGGCUGUGCGUUAGAUGGGGAGCUGUACAGUACGUGUGGCCUGUGUGUUAGAUUUGUACAACCCUAGUUUCACAGAAAAAAUAUUUAUUUCCUAGAUCUCAUAUGCCAUGGCAUGCUUUUUGCUAUGAAACCGCAGCCAUCUAGUCACUCACCAGAGAAGGAUGAGAAACUGCACCCCAGCGAGAGGGACAGACCCACAUCUGCAACCAAAUCCGUCGGUCACCGAAUCCGUAAUCUCCGUCUCUUUGUGCAUUGUGUAUGUAUGGUACUCCCAAUUCUUAUAUUUAAUCCGGUGUGUCUCCCACAGUCUUUGUGUCUGUCUGCUGUAUGUAUGUGGCACGCAAGUCUGCAUGCACUGUGUCUGUUAUGCCAGUUACUCUAACCAGUUUAUUUAUUUUUUUGUGUGUCACAGCUCUGACAAGCAUGUUCUCCUAUGGGACACGAAGUACAUGAAGAGGAAUGAAGAAGCCCAUGUCUGAUGCUCGUAUCCAGGGUGGAGUAUUGAAUUUAUAAGUAAUAAAGUGGCAUCUAACACAUGACAAGCUGCUCCUGUUUGCACAGCAACUUCAACAUUGUGUACUGUGAUCACAGCAUAGUUCAGAGGUAGGUAACCUUGGGCAGUCCAGAUGCUGUGAAUUACAUCUCCCAUAAUGCUGGCAAACCAUUAUGGGAGGUGUAGUCCAAAACAUUUGGAAUACCGAAUGCGUAUGAAUGCAAAGUAUGGUGUGUGUGUGUGUGAAUGGUCAGUAACAAGGGUUGAAGCCUUGACGUGGCGUUACUGCUCACAUGUGUAUUCAUGUGCCAAUUCAACCAAUGUGAGUCACUGUAAUACUUAUAAGGUAACCAAAAGUACUUAGAUUGUGGAGAAUGAAACGCCUGUAUCACCUACACACUGUUUACACUGUGACCGUAUCUCCUAAACACUGCUUACACUGUGACCCUAUCGCCUAAACACUGCUUACACUGUGACCCUCUCGCCUAAACACUGCUCACACUGUGACCCUCUCGCCUAAACACUGCUCAUGCUGUGACCGUAUCUCCUAAACAUUGCUUACACUGUGACCCUAUCGCCUAAACACUGCUCAUACUGUGACCGUAUCUCCUAAACACUGCUUACACUGUGACUGUAUCCCAUAAACACUGCUUACACUGUGACCGUAUCCCAUAAACACUGCUUACACUGUGACCCAAUCGCCUAAACACUGCUUACACUGUGAAUGUUAUUUUUUCAAGUUAGUUUUAGUGUUUGCGGUUUCAUUGAUUUGUUAACCACUCUCCUCAAUCUUCUGUUCUGUGUUUUCUUACAUUUGUGGGAAGAACAAGGUGAUCCUCUCAAUUUUACACUCCUCUACUGAUGGUUCCAGUGCCAGAGACAAACCCACCACCAUUAACCUCGACCUGCUCAAACAGAAGAGAUUACCUUCUUCUAUAGAAAACUUCCAUAUGGCUGCUUCGGAACACAUGCUGCAGACAUGAUGUAACCUUCAUUUUCCAGUGAUUAAGAAUCGUGGUCCGUCCAGGGAAAGAGACCAUUAUAUUAUAUUAUUAAGAUACUACCUUCCUAGUGCCAUACAGCCUUUCUUUACAUGUGAUUGAACUUUCUCCUUCUUGGAUACCACAGUGUGACUUUUCUUAACCAG
rnacentral:lncRNA from 1 species